rnacentral:rRNA from 1 species
AUUGAACGCUGGCGGCAUGCCUUACACAUGCGAGUCGAACGGUAACAGGUCUUCGGAUGCUGACGAGUGGCGAACGGGUGAGUAAUACAUCGGAACGUGCCCGAUCGUGGGGGAUAACGAAGCGAAAGCUUUGCUAAUACCGCAUACGAUCUACGGAUGAAAGCGGGGGAUCUUCGGACCUCGCGCGGACGGAGCGGCCGAUGGCAGAUUAGGUAGUUGGUGGGAUAAAAGCUUACCAAGCCGACGAUCUGUAGCUGGUCUGAGAGGAUGAUCAGCCACACUGGGACUGAGACACGGCCCAGACUCCUACGGGAGGCAGCAGUGGGGAAUUUUGGACAAUGGGCGCAAGCCUGAUCCAGCCAUGCCGCGUGCAGGAUGAAGGCCUUCGGGUUGUAAACUGCUUUUGUACGGAACGAAAAGGUGCCUUCUAAUAAAGGGCGCUCAUGACGGUACCGUAAGAAUAAGCACCGGCUAACUACGUG